rnacentral:lncRNA from 1 species
CAACGGCUGGGAGAGGAAACUUGAUGCUUCUGGGCCACCAUUUGCCAGGGCCUCGCUCGAGACGCCGAAAGAAGCCUGUUUGUGUGCUGCGGCCGUGCUGUGACUUUGGAUCUUGUCUUUCAGCCGGCGCCUCGGUUCCUGCCCAGCUGGAUUUGGGGGGCAGCAUUGCCUGGCGCAGGGAGAUCAAAUGAGACUGCAAAGAAGCAUAAAAUGAAUAGACAAUCCAACCAACCAAAGGUAAUUUUAAAAUUUACAUUUGAUAAAAUCCAAGUGAUGUACAAAAUAGAGUAUUAUUUACUAGGCGGUAGGCAUGCAGUGGGUUGCAUAUCUCCUAAUUCAUGCUCUAAGUUUCUAUAUGUGCAGCCUUCUCCUCUACAGGGAGCCUUUGUAUAUUAUAUAUCAAGCAUAAUACAAAUAUAACCUGUAACUGCCUAUAAAAAAGAAAUUCAAGAUACAGAGUAAAUAAUAGAAUACUUUUGUUAGAAAGUAAGCCAGUCAGGUACCUUGCCUGAACUAUACAAAUCACUGUAAAUUAAAUGGCUUUUAUGUAGAAAAUGGUAGUCUUGACUGUACUAGUGCACUGUGGUUUACAUGCAUUUGAAUCAUACAAACCAAAUAUUAAAAGGGGAUUUCAGUGAUAGGCCAGUUCUUCAUGUGCUUUGCAGUAAUCUGAAUAGGAUUCAGAGGUGUUCUAAAUAUGGUGACAAACCUAAUGUAUUUGAAUUUAUGAAAUAGCAUAAUUCUGAUCCAAAUAAUGUGGAAAACGUAACUUUUCACUUUUAACUGAAAUAGAGAUUGUCUACUCCCAGGUAAACCAGAAUGUUUCAAUUCAUGUUUCAGCCAUCUGGAGAUCUAUAAAAAGAUUAGAAAACAAGCAUGACAAUCACGUCCUAAUCUACUGGCCAUUAAUGGGAAUUUAUUAGUGAAUGAGCAGGCAAACCAUUUAAAUUCAGUAUAUCCUUCAGAAUGCAGAUUUCAAAACUGG